rnacentral:rRNA from 1 species
AGGAGCUUGCUCCUUGGGUGACGAGUGGCGGACGGGUGAGUAAUGUCUGGGAAACUGCCCGAUGGAGGGGGAUAACUACUGGAAACGGUAGCUAAUACCGCAUAACGUCGCAAGACCAAAGAGGGGGACCUUCGGGCCUCUUGCCAUCGGAUGUGCCCAGAUGGGAUUAGCUAGUAGGUGGGGUAACGGCUCACCUAGGCGACGAUCCCUAGCUGGUCUGAGAGGAUGACCAGCCACACUGGAACUGAGACACGGUCCAGACUCCUACGGGAGGCAGCAGUGGGGAAUAUUGCACAAUGGGCGCAAGCCUGAUGCAGCCAUGCCGCGUGUAUGAAGAAGGCCUUCGGGUUGUAAAGUACUUUCAGCGAGGAGGAAGGCGUUGUGGUUAAUAACCGCAACGAUUGACGUUACUCGCAGAAGAAGCACCGGCUAACUCCGUGCCAGCAGCCGCGGUAAUACGGAGGGUGCAAGCGUUAAUCGGAAUUACUGGGCGUAAAGCGCACGCAGGCGGUCUGUCAAGUCGGAUGUGAAAUCCCCGGGCUCAACCUGGGAACUGCAUCCGAAACUGGCAGGCUAGAGUCUUGUAGAGGGGGGUAGAAUUCCAGGUGUAGCGGUGAAAUGCGUAGAGAUCUGGAGGAAUACCGGUGGCGAAGGCGGCCCCCUGGACAAAGACUGACGCUCAGGUGCGAAAGCGUGGGGGAGCAAACAGGAUUA